rnacentral:rRNA from 1 species
GAGAUCUUCGGAUCUAGUGGCGGACGGGUUAGUAACGCGUGGGAACGUACCCUUCACUAUGGAAUAGUCCCGGGAAACUGGGUUUAAUACCAUAUACGCCCUUCGGGGGAAAGAAUUUCGGUGAGGGAUCGGCCCGCGUUAGAUUAGUUAGUUGGUGGGGUAAUGGCCUACCAAGACUACGAUCUAUAGCUGGUUUGAGAGGAUGAUCAGCAACACUGGGACUGAGACACGGCCCAGACUCCUACGGGAGGCAGCAGUGGGGAAUCUUAGACAAUGGGGGCAACCCUGAUCUAGCGAUGCCGCGUGAGUGAUGAAGGCCUUAGGGUCGUAAAGCUCUUUCGCCUGUGAUGAUAAUGACAGUAGCAGGUAAAGAAACCCCGGCUAACUCCGUGCCAGCAGCCGCGGUAAUACGGAGGGGGUUAGCGUUGUUCGGAAUUACUGGGCGUAAAGCGCACGUAGGCGGAUUAGUCAGUCAGAGGUGAAAUCCCAGGGCUCAACCCUGGAACUGCCUUUGAUACUGCUAGUCUUGAGUUCGAGAGAGGUAAGUGGAAUUCCGAGUGUAGAGGUGAAAUUCGUAGAUAUUCGGAGGAACACCAGUGGCGAAGGCGGCUUACUGGCUCGAUACUGACGCUGAGGUGCGAAAGUGUGGGGAGCAAACAGGAUUAGAUACCCUGGUAGUCCACACCGUAAACGAUGAAUGCCAGUCGUCGGGUAGUAUACUAUUCGGUGACACACCUAACGGAUUAAGCAUUCCGCCUGGGGG